GAUGAACGCUGGCGGCGUGCCUAAUACAUGCAAGUCGAGCGAACGGACGAGAAGCUUGCUUCUCUGAUGUUAGCGGCGGACGGGUGAGUAACACGUGGAUAACCUACCUAUAAGACUGGGAUAACUUCGGGAAACCGGAGCUAAUACCGGAUAAUAUUUUGAACCGCAUGGUUCAAAAGUGAAAGACGGUCUUGCUGUCACUUAUAGAUGGAUCCGCGCUGCAUUAGCUAGUUGGUAAGGUAACGGCUUACCAAGGCAACGAUGCAUAGCCGACCUGAGAGGGUGAUCGGCCACACUGGAACUGAGACACGGUCCAGACUCCUACGGGAGGCAGCAGUAGGGAAUCUUCCGCAAUGGGCGAAGGCCUGACGGAGCAACGCCGCGUGAGUGAUGGAGGUCUUCGGAUCGUAAAACUCUGUUAUUAGGGAAGAACAUAUGUGUAAGUAACUGUGCACAUCUUGACGGUACCUAAUCAGAAAGCCACGGCUAACUACGUG
rnacentral:rRNA from 1 species